rnacentral:rRNA from 1 species
UACGUAGGGUCCAAGUGUUAUCCGGAAUCACUGGGCGUAAAGCGUCUGUAGGUGGUUUAAUAAGUCAACUGUUAAAUCUUGAGGCUCAACUUCAAAAUCGCAGUCGAAACUAUUAGACUAGAGUAUAGUAGGGGUAAAGGGAAUUUCCAGUGGAGCGGUGAAAUGCGUAGAGAUUGGAAAGAACACCAACGGCGAAAGCACUCUGCUGGGCCGACACUGACACUGAGAGACGAAAGCUAGGGGAGCGAAUGGG